AUUGAACGCUGGCGGCAGGCCUAACACAUGCAAGUCGAGCGAGCGGCGGACGGGUGAGUAAUGUCUGGGAAACUUCCUGAUGGAGGGGGAUAACUACUUGAAACGGUAGCUAAUACCGCAUACCAUCAGAUGUGCCCAGAUGGGAUUAGCUAGUAGUUGGGGUAAUGGCUCACCUUGGCGACGAUCCCUAGCUGGUCUGAGCGGAUGACCAGCCAAUAUGGAACGGAGACACGGUCCAGACUCCUAAGGGAGGCAGCUGUGGGAAAUAUUGGACAAUGGGCGCAAGCGUGAAGCGCCCAUGCCUGGUGUGUGAAGAGGGCCUUCGGGUUGUAAAGCACUUUCAGCGGGGAGGCGUUACCCGCAGAAGAAGCACCGGCUAACUACGUGCCAGCAGCCGCGGUAAUAC
rnacentral:rRNA from 1 species